GUCGGGCACGGUGGCGUGUGCCUGUAGUCCCAGCUACUCGAGAUGCUGAGGUGGGAGGAUUGCUUGAGCCCAGGAGUUCUGGGCUGUAGUGCGCUAUGCCAAUCAGGUGUCCGCACUAAGUUGGGCAUCAGUAUGGUGACCUCCUGGGAGCAGGGGGACCACCAGUUUGCCUAAGGAGAGGUGAACUGGCCCAGGUAGGAGAUGGAGUAGGUCAAAACUCCCGUGCUGAUCAGUAGUGGGAUCGCGCCUGUGAACAGCCACUGCACCCCAGCCUGGGCAACAUAGUGAGACCCCGUCACU
rnacentral:SRP_RNA from 1 species